UAGUCCACGCCGUAAACGAUGGAUACUAGGCGUUUGGGGAGUUAACCCCCUGAGUGCCAAAGCUAACGCAUUAAGUAUCCCGCCUGGGGAGUACGGUCGCAAGGCUAAAACUCAAAGGAAUUGACGGGGGCCCGCACAAGCGGUGGAGUAUGUGGUUUAAUUCGAAGCAACGCGCAGAACCUUACCUACCCUUAACAUCCCAGGACGACUGCAGAGAUGUAGUUUUCUCUUCGGAGACUUGGUGAUAGGUGCUGCAUGGCUGUCGUCAGCUCGUGUCGUAAGAUGUCUGGUUAAGUCCAAUAACGAGCGCAACCCUUGUCUCUAGUUACCAUCAUUAAGUUGGGGACUCUAGAGAGACUGCCGGUGUUAAACCGGAGGAAGGCGGGGAUGACGUCAAGUCCUCAUGGCCCUUACGGGUAGGGCUACACACGUACUACAAAUGGCAGAAACAAACCGAACGCAAGACCGCGAGGUGGAGCAAAAUCGGUAAAAACACUGUCUCAGUCCGGAUUGGAGUCUGCAACUCGACUCCA
rnacentral:rRNA from 1 species